CUCCUAAUAGAUCUCAUGUCACUACGACCCAGGCAACAUCUCCAGUGGGAGCCAAGAAAGACGUAUCACGUGUGAAAAUCCUCCAGCUGGUUGUGUGCAAACGUCUGAGGUGGUUGGAAAUGUCAAAUUUCACAGCUGGAUGAAAUCUUCUCUCACAUGCUUAAAGGGAAGCCAAGCUGAGCUGAUAGACGCAUCAUCCCUUAUUAUCAGACUGCUGGAAAGCCCGGGACAGAGAGACCCUCUGGACUCUCCCUGUGGGAUACACAGAUGAGCAGGUGAUACUGCUGGAAUGUGGACCGGGACAGGUGGAGGGGGACAUUCAGGGAAGUGAGGCGAAGGCCCUGUAGCAUCAUCGCCUGUUCUCCGCACUGCACGCUUCCCCUCAAGAACGUCUGCUGGCAAACGUCUGACAACAGCUCUGGAUCCGGCAUUGUGUUUUGUUUGGCCGCUGUGUUUAUUUUCACAGAAAGAACAUCUUUAUUGAUAAAACUUUGUCUGUUGUCUGGUGCUGUUUUGCUCAAUGUUUUUGUUUCCUUUGCCAGUCUGUCGCAAGAACUCUCCUCUGACCUGCGGGAGAUGCAUAGUAAGAAGUCUUUUUUUUCCUUUAGUUUUGAGAAAAAUGAUACUUGUCCUCAAAGAAACCUUUAGUAGAACUAAUAAAAGUAUAAAAAAAGGUAUACAAGAUGCACAGUGUUAUGCAAAUAUUCACAUCCCUUGAACCUUUUCAGAUAUAUCAACCACAAGUGCUUUUGACAAAUCUAUUUUCCUUAAGGUCAGUCAGAAUGGAUGGAUACUGUCUGUAAACAACAGUUUUCUAAUCUCGCUGUAGAUAUUUUAUUGCAUUUAGUGCAGGGGUUUGACUAGGUCAUUCUAAGUCAGGAAUAUGCUUUAAUUUAAACCAGUCCAUCCUGAGUCGUGGAAGGUGAACCUUCACCCAGUCUUCAUACUUCUGUAACCUCUGAUAUUGCUCCAUCCAGCUUCCCACCAAUUCUCUACCCCUGAUGAAGAGAAGUAUACCCACAGUAUGAUGCUGCCACCAUGUUCCACCAUGGGAUUGGAGUUUAUAGGGUGAUGGCAUGUGGUUGAUGGCAUGUGGACAACUUAAAUCGUGGUUUCUUGUGGCUUUAUUUUAACAAUGGCUCUCUUCUUGCCUUCUUCCUUAAAUUGCAGAUUCAUGGAGUGCACAACUAAUAAUUGUCCUAUUGACAGAUUCUCCAAGCUGAGCUAGGAAUCUCCUCAGUCCCUCCAGAGUUACCAUUUGGUUCUUGGCCACUUCUCUAACUAUUGCUCUCCUUGCCCAGCCUGUCAAUUUAGGCCGGCUGUCUUUGUAGGUUUGCAGUUGUGUCAUACUCUUAGACCGAACAUUGCUCUCUGAGAUGUUUAAUGCUUGACAUAUUGUUUUAUAACCUAACCCUGCUUUAAACCUUGUCCUGACCUGUCUAUUGCAUUUCUUGGUUGUCAUGAUGGUUUUUGUGCACUAAUGUUCUAUAACACACGUCAGAGGCCUUCAAAUUUUUUUUUUUAAAUCUUGAAAACAAUGUGUUUUCCCUUCACUUCAUAAUUAUGCACUAGUGGUAAAAAAAAAAAAAAAAACAACUGUUUAUUACAUAAAAAAUCCCAAUAAAAUCUAUUUAAAUUAGUAAAUUUAACAUGACAAAAUAUUAAAAUGUUUAUGGAGUGUAAAUACCUUUGCUCAGGAAUGUACACAAUGUUACCGGUAUGAAUGUUAAUCCUUACUUGUUCAGUAUUAUUGUCUUGUCUUUUCUUAUUGUUUGUGUCGUAUUUAACAUUUUUCACUGCAACGCUGAACAAAGCUGAACGAGCACAAGCUGAAGGAAUUUCAGGAAGCAGCUAUCUUCUCCCCACCUCCAUAACCUCAGUCUUUGUCAACACUGUGACAGUAAAGCCGAGCACCUGUCUGAGCAGUUUCAUGUGUUAAAAGGGGCCAGAGCAGACAGACAAGUACAAUUUGUUACACACAGAAACACGCAGCUGGCUGUCAGAAGUGGGAGCUGAGGAGACCUCAUUGUUUACAAGAGUGAUGGCUCCAGGUGACCAAACCAGUGGGGCCAAUAAAGUACACUGCCUCACUGUCCCAGAGAAGCGAAACCAGCAGUGCAACCAUUUAUUUUCAAAUUUUCAAUAAUUUGUUUCAGCAGGAGCAGCUUAAAUAGAGACAGAUUGUUAUUUGCAGGGAUGACCUGGCAGUAAUUGCUACUAGUGGGCACCUGAUUCACAGAGCGGCAUUUUGUCUGUUUAACCUGGUCUCAGACAGCUAGCUAACUCUCGCUUUAAUGAUAAUAAUAAGGUUAACUUGGUGUAGCCUCUCUCCCCUUUGAGCCCACAAUUACUGGCCAUGGUACACUGUGUACGCACAGUCUGUCUGGGGAGCAAGCCACUGGAUAAUUCCUGGUUACUUGUCAAAGAAACUUCUAACAAACACGUUCUACACACAAACACCUGAGUAAAAACUUGGAAAACUCUAUAAAAAUGAAAACACAUGAGCAGACAUGCAUUCAGGAAACAUGCACUUUUACAGCUAUGUGAAUUAGCCAACAUGCAGAAGGUGACGAACCAGGAUUAGCUUCUGAUUCUCUUGGCCAUGAAUGCUUGUUUAGGUUGAGGUCACCACAGUUACAUAAUCUCCAGGUCAUUCAAAACCUCAAGGAGUGUUAGAGCUGCAGCAACAAGAGGAAAUAACUGAUGAUGUUCUGGGUUAAUGACGUUAAAAGAAACACAUAUUUGUAAGGUUUUAUGGCUUUGUUUUUUAUUUAGAACUAUAAGACAGUCAAGAAUUAAGACAUCAGAGACCUUUAAGGCUGUGACCUCAACCUACAAAUGAUUUGGUACAUUCAGAAAAAAAAAACUCCUUGGGUUUCCUGUGACAGAUUGUGACUACAGUACCUAAUAAAAGUAUCAAUAUCCCUUGAACUUCCUCCCAAACUAUUGCUGCUUUCAACAAUGGCUUUCUCCUGGUCAUUUGAAUAAAGCCUCCUUACAUGGGUUGCGGAAAGGGGGCUGAAUAAAAGGGCAUCCCACAAUUUGUUUUGUAAAAAAUGUUGAAAGCCAUGUAUCCUUCAACUUUACAAUUAUUCACUAUGUCUUGGUCUAUUAUGUAAAAUCCUGAAAAAAUAUAUUAAAGUUUCCAGUAGUUGGAACAAAAUAUAUAUAUAAAAAAAACCUCAGGGGGUAUGGAUAUUUUGUGCAAGGCACAUUAAAACUGAGUACAUAAUUUGCAUGUCAAUUCAAAGUGAACCCAAAACCUUGAAUAUUAUCAAGUGGUCACAAUAAAACAAAUUUUCUCAA